rnacentral:rRNA from 1 species
AACGAACGCUGGCGGCAUGCCUAACACAUGCAAGUCGAACGAGACCUUCGGGUCUAGUUGCGCACGGGUGCGUAACGCGUGGGAACCUGCCCUUAGGUUCGGAAUAACUCCCCGAAAGGGGUGCUAAUACCGGAUAAUGUCUUCGGACCAAAGAUUUAUCGCCUUUGGAUGGGCCCGCGUUGGAUUAGCUAGUUGGUAUGGUAAAAGCCUACCAAGGCGACGAUCCAUAGCUGGUCUGAGAGGAUGAUCAGCCACACUGGGACUGAGAGACGGCCCAGACUCCUACGGGAGGCAGCAGUGGUGAACAUUGGACGAUGGGCGAGAGCCUGAUCCAGCAAUGCCGCGUGAGUGAUGAAGGCCUUAGGGUUGUAAAGCUCUUUUACCCGGGAUGAUAAUGACAGUACCGGGAGAAUAAGCUCCGGCUAACUCCGUG